rnacentral:rRNA from 1 species
GAUGAACGCUGGCGGCGUGCUUAACACAUGCAAGUCGAACGGUGAAAGCGGAGCUUGCUCUGCUGGAUCAGUGGCGAACGGGUGAGUAACACGUGAGCAACCUGCCCCGGACUCUGGGAUAACAGCUGGAAACAGCUGCUAAUACCGGAUACGAGCUGCGAAGGCAUCUUCAGCAGCUGGAAAGAACUUCGGUCCGGGAUGGGCUCGCGGCCUAUCAGCUAGUUGGUGAGGUAACGGCUCACCAAGGCGUCGACGGGUAGCCGGCCUGAGAGGGGGACCGGCAACACCGGGACUGAGACACGGCCCCGACUCCUACGGGAGGAAGCAGUGGGGAGUAGUGCACAAUGGGCGCAAGCCUGAUGCAGCAACGCAGCGUGAGGGACGACGGCCUUCGGGUUGUAAACCUCUUUCAGCAGGGAAGAAGCGAAAGUGACGGUACCUGCAGAAAAAGCACCGGCUAACUACGUGCCAGCCGCCGCGGUAACAC